UACGUAGGGGGCAAGCGUUGUCCGGAUUUAUUGGGCGUAAAGAGCGUGUAGGCGGCCAGGUAGGUCUGCUGUGAAAACUCGAGGCUCAACCUCGAGACGUCGGCGGAAACCAUCUGGCUAGAGUCCGGAAGAGGAGAGUGGAAUUCCUGGUGUAGCGGUGAAAUGCGCAGAUAUCAGGAAGAACACCAAUGGCGAAAGCAGCUUUCUGGGACGGUACUGACGCUGAGACGCGAAAGCGUGGGGAGCGAACAGG
rnacentral:rRNA from 1 species